rnacentral:misc_RNA from 1 species
GUACAGUGCAAUGUGAUAUCCGAAAUGUCUGACAAAAUUAGGUAAUAACCCGAAUUAUAUGCAAGGCAAUAUAAGGUAUAUGUAUAGCCUGGAAAUUGUGACCGUUGCUCGCUCGCUCCGCUCGCUUGUAAAAAUCUAGUCCAACCUCACAACCGAUCCGACACGUUCGCCGAUUCGAAAUAUGUCGCCACCAUAUCGAAUAAUGAACGCAAGAGGGAUUGGUUUUCGGUUAGGCUAUAGCUUUCGAGCGAGCACGGUGAGCGAGGGUCGCGGAGAGGUGUGUCACAAUCCAACGGUUUGGCACAUUGGGACAUUCAAAUAUUCGCACCAGCCAGAGGAGCCGGAAGUCUUUAUCCUAUUGCCUACUGACAAAUUGUUGAAAAUAACAACGUGAGUUCUCGCUCGCCAUCUAUAUGCUGACGGCUAGUUACAAAAGAAGUAACUAGAAGUUGUUCCUAGACACGGUCGAUAGACCUGAUCGAUAGUUUUAGGACCCCUCUUGCCUUUUUUUUUUUUCAUUCGUUUGUGACCCUUCUAAGUGUGUGCAAUAAAGUUCUUUCUGCCUCGAGAAGUGUAGAUUUAUUAUCUAUAUAACAUAAUAAUAACUAACGCGAUCCUACCUCUAAAACAUAAAAUAACAACAGGUUAUGGGCCCAGGUUCGAUAAUUAGUUAUUAUUUUUAUUGAAAAUAUUUUAAAUAG